CAGCCGCCGCGGGAAUACGAAGGGGGCUAGCGCUGCUCGGAAUGACUGGGCGUAAAGGGCGCGUAGGCGGCGAUCAAAGUCAGGCGUGAAAUUCCUGGGUUCAACCUGGGGGCUGCGUUUGAUACUUGAUUGCUAGAGUGGGGAAGAGGGUCGUGGAAUUCCCAGUGUAGAGGUGAAAUUCGUAGAUAUUGGGAAGAACACCGGUGGCGAAGGCGGCGACCUGGUCCUUUACUGACGCUGAGGCGCGAAAGCGUGGGGAGCAAACAGGAUUAGAUACCCCCGUAGUCCCUGUCUCUUAUAC
rnacentral:rRNA from 1 species